rnacentral:rRNA from 1 species
UACGAAGGGUGCAAGCGUUACUCGGAAUUACUGGGCGUAAAGCGCACGUAGGCGGAUUGUUAAGUUAGGGGUGAAAUCCCAGGGCUCAACCCUGGAACUGCCUUUAAUACUGGCAAUCUCGAGUCCGAGAGAGGUGAGUGGAAUUCCGAGUGUAGAGGUGAAAUUCGUAGAUAUUCGGAGGAACACCAGUGGCGAAGGCGGCUCACUGGCUCGGUACUGACGCUGAGGUGCGAAAGCGUGGGGAGCAAACAGG